AGUGAACGCUGGCGGUAGGCCUAACACAUGCAAGUCGAACGGCAGCACAGUAAGAGCUUGCUCUUACGGGUGGCGAGUGGCGGACGGGUGAGGAAUACAUCGGAAUCUACUUUUUCGUGGGGGAUAACGUAGGGAAACUUACGCUACUACCGCAUACUACCUACGGGUGAAAGCAGGGGAUCUUCGGACCUUGCGCGAUUGAAUGAGCCGAUGUCGGAUUAGCUAGUUGGCGGGGUAAAGGCCCACCACGGCGACGAUCCGUAGCUGGUCUGAGAGGAUGAUCAGCCACACUGGAACUGAGACACGGUCCAGACUCCUACGGGAGGCAGCAGUGGGGAAUAUUGGACAAUGGGCGCAAGCCUGAUCCAGCCAUACCGCGUGGGUGAAGAAGGCCUUCGGGUUGUAAAGCCCUUUUGUUGGGAAAGAAAAGCAGCAGGUUAAUACCCCGCUGUUCUGACGGUACCCAAAGAAUAAGCACCGGCUAACUUCGUG
rnacentral:rRNA from 1 species